CCUACGGGAGGCAGCAGUGGGGAAUCUUGCGCAAUGGGCGAAAGCCUGACGCAGCAACGCCGCGUGCGGGAAGAAGGCUUUCGGGCUGUAAACCGCUUUCAGCAGGAACGAAAAUGACGGUACCUGCAGAAGAAGGAGCGGCCAACUAUGUGCCAGCAGCCGCGGUGAUACAUAGGCUUCAAGCGUUGUCCGGAUUUAUUGGGCGUAAAGAGUUCGUAGGCGGUCGAGUAAGUCGGGUGUGAAAAUUCUGGGCUCAACCCAGAGACGCCACCCGAUACUGCUUGACUUGAGUUCGAUAGGGGAGUGGGGAAUUCCUAGUGUAGCGGUGAAAUGCGCAGAUAUUAGGAGGAACACCGGUGGCGAAGGCGCCACUCUGGAUCGAUACUGACGCUGAGGAACGAAAGCAUGGGUAGCAAACAGGAUUAGAUACCCUGGUAGUCCAUGCCGUAAACGGUGGGCACUAGGUGUGGGUUUCUAUUAACGAAAUCCGCGCCGUCGCUAACGCAUUAAGUGCCCGCCUGGGAGUCGGUCGCAAGCAAACUUAAGGAAUUGAACGG
rnacentral:rRNA from 1 species